AACGAACGCUGGCGGCAUGCCUAACACAUGCAAGUCGAACGAGACCUUCGGGUCUAGUUGCGCACGGGUGCGUACCGCGUGGUAACCUGCCCUUAGGUUCGGAAUAACUCCCCGAAAGGGGUGCUAAUACCGGUUAAUGUCUUCGGACCAAAGAUUUGUCGCCUUUCGAUGGGCUCGCGUUGGGUUAGCUAGUUGGUAGGGUAAAGGCCUACCAAGGCGACGAUCGGUAGCUGGUCUGAGAGGAUGAUCAGCCACACUGGGACGGGACCACGGCCCAGACUCGAACGGGAGGCAAGGGAGGGGUAUAGAAUAUUGGACGCGGAAGGAAGAUGUAACAACGCCACGCGGGGUGAGAGAUGCAGGGCGUAGGGUUGUGAAGCUGUUUGAGACGGGGUGAUAAUGACAGUACCGGGAGAAUAAGCACCGGCUAACUACGUG
rnacentral:rRNA from 1 species